rnacentral:lncRNA from 1 species
AUCAAAACUCAUCAUAUUUAGACAAAAAUGUUUCAUUCAAUAUACAAAAAAUUAGAUUAGACAAAAGUGGAAUAAAAAACAUAUAUAAAUAGUAGCAUAAAAUAAUAUCGAAGAUAUUAUAAUAAAAAAAAAAUUAGAUUAGACAAAAGUGGAAUAAAAAACAUAUAUAAAUAGUAGCAUAAAAUAAUAUCGAAGAUAUUAUAAUAAAACAUAAAAAAACAUAUGAGAUGAGAGAUUAGAGAAGAUGAAAA